CAGCAGCCGCGGUAAUACGAAGGGUGCAAGCGUUACUCGGAAUUACUGGGCGUAAGGCGUGCGUAGGUGGUGGUUUAAGUCCGUUGUGAAAGCCCUGGGCUCAACCUGGGAAUUGCAGUGGAUACUGGAUCACUAGAGUGUGGUAGAGGAUAGUGGAAUUUCCGGUGUAGCAGUGAAAUGCGUAGAGAUCGGAAGGAGCAUCUGUGGCGAAGGCGACUAUCUGGGCCAACACUGACACUGAGGCACGAAAGCGUGGGGAGCAAACAGGAUUAGAUACCCCCGUAGUCCCUGUCUCUUAUAC
rnacentral:rRNA from 1 species